rnacentral:rRNA from 1 species
ACAGAGGUGGCAAGCGUUGUUCGGAAUUACUGGGCGUAAAGGGCGCGUAGGCGGCCAUCUAAGUCAGACGUGAAAUCCCCCGGCUUGACCUGGGAACUGCGUCUGAUACUGGACGGCUUGAAUCCGGGAGAGGGAUGUGGAAUUCCAGGUGUAGCGGUGAAAUGCGUAGAUAUCUGGAGGAACACCGGUGGCGAAGGCGGCAUCCUGGACCGGUAUUGACGCUGAGGCGCGAAAGCCAGGGGAGCAAACGGGA